rnacentral:rRNA from 1 species
UGCGUAGGCGGGAUAUUAAGUCAGUGGUGAAAUCUUACCGCUUAACGGUGAAAUUGCCAUUGAAACUGAUAUUCUUGAGUGUAGUUGAGGUGGGCGGAAUGUGUAGUGUAGCGGUGAAAUGCUUAGAUAUUACACAGAACACCGAUUGCGAAGGCAGCUCACUAAACUAUCACUGACGCUGAUGCACGAAAGCGUGGGGAGCGAACAGGAUUAGAUACCCUGGUAGUC